rnacentral:rRNA from 1 species
UACGUAGGGUGCAAGCGUUGCCCGGAUUUAUUGGGCGUAAAGAGCUCGUAGGCGGUGUGUCGCGUCGGCCGUGAAAACCUGCAGCUUAACUGUGGGCUUGCGGUCGAUACGGGCAUCACUGGAGUUCGGCAGGGGAGACUGGAAUUCCUGGUGUAGCGGUGAAAUGCGCAGAUAUCAGGAGGAACACCGGUGGCGAAGGCGGGUCUCUGGGCCGAUACUGACGCUGAGGAGCGAAAGCGUGGGGAGCGAACAGG